ensembl:snRNA U6 U6 spliceosomal RNA
GUACUCACUUUGGCACCACAUACACUAAAAUUGGAAUGAUACAGACAUUAGCAUGACCUCUGCGCAAGAAUGACAUAUAGGCUAAUGCAACAGCCUCGGUGCCU